rnacentral:rRNA from 1 species
CCGGUACAGAGGGUUGCCAAGCCGUAAGGCGGAGCUAAUCCCUUAAAGCUACUCUCAGUUCGGAUUGUAGGCUGAAACUCGCCUACAUGAAGCUGGAGUUACUAGUAAUCGCAGAUCAGAAUGCUGCGGUGAAUGCGUUCCCGGGUCUUGUACACACCGCCCGUCACACCACGGGAGUUGGAG